rnacentral:tRNA from 1 species
GUGAAUAUAGUUUAACCAAAAUUCUAGGUUGUGGUCCUAGAGACGGAGGCUAAUAUCCUCCUAUUCACC